AACGAACGCUGGCGGCAUGCCUAACACAUGCAAGUCGAACGAGACCUCCGGGUCUAGUGGCGCACGGGUGCGUAACGCGUGGGAACCUGCCCUUAGGUUCGGAAUAACUCCCCGAAAGGGGUGCUAAUACCGGAUAAUGUCUUCGGACCAAAGAUUUAUCGCCUUUGGAUGGGCCCGCGUUGGAUUAGCUAGUUGGUAGGGUAAAAGCCUACCAAGGCGACGAUCCAUAGCUGGUCUGAGAGGAUGAUCAGCCACACUGGGACUGAGACACGGCCCAGACUCCUACGGGAAGCAGCAGUGGGGAAUAUUGGACAAUGGGCGAAAGCCUGAUCCAGCAAUGCCGCGUGAGUGAUGAAGGCCUUAGGGUUGUAAAGCUCUUUUACCCGGGAUGAUAAUGACAGUACCGGGAGAAUAAGCUCCGGCUAACUCCGUG
rnacentral:rRNA from 1 species